rnacentral:rRNA from 1 species
UACGUAGGGUGCGAGCGUUGUCCGGAAUUAUUGGGCGUAAAGAGCUUGUAGGCGGUUUGUCGCGUCUGCCGUGAAAAUCCGAGGCUCAACCUCGGACUUGCGGUGGGUACGGGCAGACUAGAGUGUGGUAGGGGAGACUGGAAUUCCUGGUGUAGCGGUGAAAUGCGCAGAUAUCAGGAGGAACACCAGUGGCGAAGGCGGGACUCUGGGCCGAUACUGACGCUGAGGAGCGAAAGCGUGGGGAGCAAACAGG